rnacentral:rRNA from 1 species
UACAGAGGGGGCGAGCGUUGUUCGGAAUUACUGGGCGUAAAGGGCGCGUAGGCGGCCCGCUAAGUCGAACGUGAAAUCCCCAGGCUUAACCUGGGAACUGCGUCCGAUACUGGCAGGCUUGAAUCCGGGAGAGGGAUGUGGAAUUCCAGGUGUAGCGGUGAAAUGCGUAGAUAUCUGGAGGAACACCGGUGGCGAAGGCGGCAACCUGGACAAGUACUGACACUCAACUACGAAAGCGUGGGGAGCAACAGG